rnacentral:tRNA from 1 species
GGGAAUGAAUGUCGCCCGGUGGUGGCCACGGUCUUCAAAAUCGAUGGACGGUGAUGUGCAAUCAGCGUCGGUGGGUUCGACUCCCAUUCAUUCCC